AAAAAGUGUGUGACAAAAAACAAAAACAAACAAAAUAAAAUUAUAGGAAAAAUAUAACAACUACAUAAGUAUAGUUUAAUUUUAUCCUAAACCUCUAUCCAUCAUUUCUUACAGAUAGUACAGGGUGAGGGUUCACAAAAUAGGGAACCAGGGGUGGAUACAGCCAUUUUGAAAAGGGGUUCCCUACCCAGGAUAAAGGGGGGUUCCAACUAAAUGUCCCCUUUCAAAUGCAUUGAUUGUCCAUAAAAAGGGGGAUUCCAAUCCCGGAACCCUAUCCCUGGAUCCGCCACUGGGAACUAUGGCUAAAAGUAUAAAAAAAAAUUGGAGAACUAUGACUAAAGGAACAAAGAAUAGAGAAAAUUGACUGUAAUAAGGAAUAGAGCAAAUGACAUGCUAGUCAAAAUAAUAUGACGUCUGACAAGGCUAUUUUAUUUUUUAUCUGGGACGCCUUCCUACGCAUCCCAGAAAAAAAUUAUAAAAUAUCCUAGCCAGACGUCAUAAUUAUUUGAACUAUUGAUGUGCUAAUUUAUAUAUUGAGAAAAGAGAAAUGAUGGACAAAAAGUAUAAAAAAAAAAUAGA
rnacentral:lncRNA from 1 species